AAAACAUUUUCCUUUUGAUUAGAGUUUCUAUCCUCCGCGUCUUCUUCUUCAUAUCUAUAAAUGACCCUCACCACCUGAAAAUGUUUCCCUUAUAGCGGAAGAAAAUCAUCCAUCACCACAUGAUGUGGCUAAUAAUUUUUACUAAGAUCUUCCUCAUGCUCAUUUAUUACUCAACUAUCGAAUGAUACUAGCCCAGAUUUUUAUGAUAUAUUCUCUUCUUUUCUGAGGCUUCUUGGAGAUUCGUGAGGUAGCUUUUUGUCAUCUCAGCGGACCUUCUUACUCCAAUUUAUGAUCUUGUUCUACUCUAGCAACAAUGUCAUAUGAGACUUUUUUUGACUGGAUUGUAAUACUUUAGAGCUUGUACACGUGACAAUCAGAUUUUGGGGGUAUUUUUAAGUUAAACAUAAACUUCCAUAAUUUUAUUGUAAUGGUCGAGAUUUAGGCUGACUUGUCUUAGUGGAAUAAGACGAGUGCCAUCACACCCCAUUUUUGGGUCAGGACAGAUCAUAUCUUCUAUCACUUGCAUUGUACAACAACACAUUUUAGUAGAUUUCUUUAACUCUUUAGUGUUUCCAUA